rnacentral:rRNA from 1 species
UACGAAGGGGGCUAGCGUUGUUCGGAUUUACUGGGCGUAAAGCGCACGUAGGCGGUUUGUUAAGUCAGGGGUGAAAUCCUGGAGCUCAACUCCAGAACUGCCUUUGAUACUGGGAAUCUUGAGUAUGGAAGAGGUGAGUGGAACUGCGAGUGUAGAGGUGAAAUUCGUAGAUAUUCGCAAGAACACCAGUGGCGAAGGCGGCUCACUGGUCCAUAACUGACGCUGAGGCACGAAAGCGUGGGGAGCAAACAGG